rnacentral:tRNA from 1 species
AUUCAGGUAGUUUAAAUGAGAAACGUUAGUUUGUGGAGCUAGAAGUAUAGUUAUACUAUUCUGAGUA